CGGGAGUGCCUGCACACCUGUAUUCACCCAGGAGGGAGGGGUGGGCCUUGGGUGUGUAGGACAGCACACUUACUGCAGCACUUUGGUCAGGAACUCUAGCUCUGACUUUCAUCACAGGCUGUCCUAUAUGUAUAAGGUAUCUUUUAUAUGAAAGCCGUUUUUUUUUUGUUUUUUUUUUUCCCCCCAAUUUGUAUCAAAGUUUACCAAGUGAAGGCAGCUGCAAAAUCUGCUGAUUUCCAUGUACAAAAGUUACCUCAGAUGUUGUUUCUGGGAGAAGACAUCCAGUUGCCUUAGACAUAGAACCGGAAAAAGACUAGUGCUUCACUGCUAACAAGAAAGUGGAGACGACUCACUGCUACUAAAGAUUUAUGCCCAGUUCUCUCUAUCUUGUGUAAGGAGCAAGGUGAACCUCAUCUGGGUGCCAUGCUGAAGAGGCAUUCCUGGGAAGUUCCUGGAGAAAAGUUGGUUUCAUGAAUGCUGACUGUCUGAAUGGGAAACGACCCCUGAACAAUUUAGGGAAAGAGCUGCGAAAGAGAAGCAGCUCAAGGCAAUCAGAGCUUCUGCAAACAGAAGGAGGCAAGACAGUUGCCAGGGUUAGAAAGAGAAGACAGUCUCACCUACAGGGAGGCACUGGAGACAGUCAAGAGGCUCUGCAAAAGCUGUGAAACACUAGCCAAGAAUUGGGUGUAUAUGUGGAUAUUUAGAUGUCUUUGAGAGCUUAUGGUGAGGUUUCAAAAUGAGAAAUACAUUAAGAAUUGAAUGAAGUGUUUUGCUUUUUACCUUGAAUGCCUGUGCACACCAGGAAAUAGUAACAAUGAGAAACCUUGUGAAUGAGAUUAUUGUGCAAAGAGGAAAUCUGUGUCCCUUAGAGUCGUGCUCUCAGAAAUGACUGGAAUUGAACUGAACUUAAAAGGCUUUCUUAAAUCACUGGAAUAGCGUUGUGCAUUGCAUUUCUUGUUGUUCUGAAUGAUUGGAAAUAUCCAUAUUUCCUCUUGUAGUAUUCAAAAAUGACUAAUGAGAAUUCAGAAUAUGGACAUGUAAAUGAAUACUCAAGUGCCAGUCAAAAAAACUGCAUAUUUCCUUUUUUGGAGGGUGAACUUUUUGAUCACCCUAAAAGAAGAAAGACAGAUAACUCUAUGCUAAAAUGCAAUCUAAAAUGGUGGUGAUGGGAGGAAAACUGUGGGAAAACUGUGGAAACUGUAGGUUUUGUUUGAUCAUUUUCCAGGAGAUCUGCUAUGUUUGAAAGGAUGUCUGAGUAUCCAUGUAGCCACAUCAGGAUCUGCCCUGCCCCUGUUUUGGGGCAGACUUAAGGGAGGCUGCCCAACACUCAGAUGCCAGGAUUGGCACCGGCAGCCAUUGUAUAGGAUGAUUUGAGGAAUGUGUGGCAAAAAAAGUCUGCAGUACAAUUUGUGGAUCUGCUUUUAGCAUUGUUCAACCUGGCAACUCUGCUUAGUUCCAUUGGCAUCAGCUAGUGUUUUUCCGUAAUAUGCCAUUUGUGUCAGAGUACAUUUGAUCUUUAUAUUCAAAUUAAUUUGUUAGAUUAAUAUGUUUUGUUGAAUGCACUAUUGGAAAUGAAGAAAAUAAUCUGCUGUAUGGAGUACAUGGACAGUGUUUUUAGGGUGAGACCAAAUCAAAAUUAUUAUAAUAAAUUCAGUGCAGGAUUGGUUUUCUUUCUCUUC
ensembl:lncRNA